CCGAGAAACUCGGUCGUGUGUACGAGGCCUCAGUGUGUAUGGCAAGAAGUCUUUCCCACUAGGGAUCAACAUCCUGACAAGUGAUCAGGUCUAUCACGGCAGAGGAACCACACUUUCCAGCAUGCUCUCUAUGUUUCUACAUUACAAAAUGUUGCCAAAGCUUGGAAACUCUGGAGCAGUCGGUGUAUCCAGAAUGAGCUAAAGCACCUUAAUUGAAGCCUAUAAUUUACUUAGAGUAGACUGUGACGCAUUUACAGUGUACACUAUUGUUGUUAUACUCAGGGCACCUAUCAAACCAUAAAAGAGACUCAUACAGUAUAUAUUAUUAUUAUAGUCACUGCCAUCAGAAACACAUGAACCUUGCUUUCUCCUAUUUAUUCAGCAGUAAUUGACCUGCUGAUUCCUGCGUUAAGAGGGAAUGUAGCAUCCAUAUUUGUGAUUUAAAUCCUGGUUUACAGCCAGCGCAUUCUGUGCACUAAAACACUGAACAAACUGUGCACCAAUAAAGAGCACCAUAAAGCCACAGGGGAUGCAUUCAUCUCCAGGUAGGCAGAGCAGCUAACGCCCUAAUGCAUUACCUGGGCUGCAGGAGGACCCAGGAAACACUGUGCACACAGCCUAAUGAAUGCUAUACAAUUGGAUAAAAGUCAGUCCCCUUAUUUCUGGAGAGAUGGCCAGGAGAUAAGUAACCAGAGGCUGCUGUGUCCGGAGAUGUGAUCAGCAGGGCCGAUCCUCUGUAUAGCACGGCUCUGCCUGACCUUUAUCCCAGCAUUGUCACCUACCGUACUACAUACCGGCUAAACACCUAUCCGAGGGUCACAGAAAACAAAGAUGACAGGUGACAAUGGAUCACAAUAAUAUGGAGAUUACAAUGUAUUACUUUUAAAAUCAAAUGGAAUUAUCUCUGAAGGGGAAAAGGAACCUCCAACCAACAUGGAUUGUGUAGCUGUGCCCAAAUAUUUCGAUUAAUGAAAAGACUGGUGACCCCAACAUCCAACUGCUUCCUGGGGGUCACGAAGCCCACACUCAUAUUUUAUAAUUUUCCUACGGGAGAUAUGCCCUGAUUUCCUAUGAUUUAUCCUUAGUCCCUGGAUUUUACUUUUUAUCAUCUAUCUGUACCAUAAAAUAUCACUUUUGUUACAUCGUGCAUUUAAUUCUCGCUAUAUCCAAUUUCAAUAAAAACUCUAACUGGACCAUA